GCGAACUUCACUCUUGCAUACCUCGCAUCAAACCCAUCACUCCACUCCUGUCUUCAAGUCUUCACGACAAUCGCACACACACAAUGCCAAGUCAAGCAGCUACCAUCGUGCCACGUCCAGGCGUGCCCGCUCACAUGGUGAGUGACAACACCCGAGCGCUUAGGGGCGCGAGCUGCAUACGUCGGCAGAAAAGAAUUGGGUUCUGCAACCCCCACAAUACCCUGUCAUCCUCAUUGAACGCACCGCAAGCACAUCCGUAUAUGUGCGUAUGUGCUGGCGCGUGUGCCAAUGUCCUCCGCAUCGCCUCCCACCGCGCAUUGUGUCGCACGGCGGAGAGACCUGCGCCGUCGUGUGCCCCCGUCCAGGCCUACUCGUACACAUCUUAGCGACCAUCCUAUCCCGCGUCUCGCGUCCUAGUCAACGCGUGAUGCAGACCACCAAUUCUGCCCGUGCACCGCACUAUCCGUUUCCCUGCAUCCUGUGCCCAUUCCGCUCAGCGGCACACCAUCUUGAAUCACGACAUAGUACAGACACGCCAGCCUGCGCCAACCUAUGGUAUGGAGUCAUCCCCCAACACACCUCGUCAUUUCCACGUCCAGCCAGAUGCUCCUGUCCUUGCAUCGCGGGGCUACUCCCAUCUAGACCUGUAAGCGCUGCGACAGUACUGAAUGCCUACCCAUCUACCCGUAAAAUGCAUGGUCCAGGGUCCAUGGUUCGUUCGCCGGGUGAAUCUCCGGACGGACUUUAUGUUCGCAUUUCGCAUGACCACACUGCACUAAGCGCGUCUGGCCCAGCCGCCGAGCUCGCUCCUGAGGACUGUCAACGCCACCCGUCCAGACAUCUUCAAAAAAAAUCUGAAGGGGGGUUAACAGAGCCCCACGACGCACAUCACCGAUAAACAAAACACACACUCGCGCAUGGCACGCACGAGCCUUGCCACGCUCUCACCAAGUAUCCCAUCCCAUUUCCACUGACUCCGACUCGAGUUGCACCAACCACCAACAGGACA
rnacentral:lncRNA from 1 species